rnacentral:rRNA from 1 species
CCUACGGGUGGCAGCAGUGAGGAAUAUUGGUCAAUGGACGCGAGUCUGAACCAGCCAAGUCGCGUGAAGGAUGACUGCCCUAUGGAUUGUAAACUUCUUUUAUAUGGGAAUAAAAUGUUCCACGUGUGGGGUUUUGUGUGUACCAGAUGAAUAAGGAUCGGCUAACUCCGUGCCAGCAGCCGCGGUAAUACGGAGGAUCCGAGCGUUAUCCGGAUUUAUUGGGGUUAAAGGGAGCGUAGGUGGAUUGUUAAGUCAGUGGUUAAAGUUUGGGGCUCAACCGGAGAAUUGCAGUUGAAACUGGCAGUCUUGAGUACAGUAGAGGUGUGCGGAAUUCGUGGUGUAGCGGUGAAAUGCUUAGAUAUCACGAAGAACUCCGAUUGCGAAGGCAGCUCACUGG